ACGUAGGAUGCGAGCGUUGUCCGGAAUUACUGGGCGUAAAGAGCGCGUAGGCGGUUCGGAACGUAGGUUGUGAAAGCCCCCGGCUCACCUGGGGGAGAGCAGUCUAAACGAGCGAACUAGAGGGCGGUAGGGGCUGGCGGAAUGCCUGGAGUAGCGGUGAAAUGCGUUGAGAUCAGGCAGAACACCAGUGGCGAAGGCGGCCAGCUGGGCCGUGACUGACGCUGAGGCGCGAAAGCUAGGGGAGCGAACGGAAUUAGAUACUCCGGUAGUCCUAGCCCUAAACGAUGACAACUAGGUGUCGGGGGUAUCGACCCCGUCGGUGCCGGAGCACACGCGAUAAGUUGUCCGCCUGGGGAGUACGGCCGCAAGGCUA
rnacentral:rRNA from 1 species